CUGAAUUGUCAACAAGAGUUGUUGCUGGUCCUCGAAUGGGGGCAUGUGCACGCUCUGUUCACACAUCCACUCACACCCUGUGCACUCUCUGUAGUUCUGUGGUUGGGAGGCCUGCCCUCCCGCUGUGGUUCUGCAUCUUUACAUACACACUGUAACAAAGUCUCAUGGAAUGCAUGCCGCGUUUAACGCAAUACAAUA
rnacentral:misc_RNA from 1 species